GUGUGUCACUGGUUCUGCUGUUCUUGAGCAGGUAUCCCACCCACCCUCCUCUUCUCUCUGUAAUUUCUUUCUCGUAGCACCAUGUCUGUGAUCGGCGUCUUUACAAAGGGGCGGGCGACGGGGCACCCUUCGGUGAUGUCGGUGCUGCGCUACGUCCCGCGUGCGCGUGUGCCGUGGCAGCCGAGCCGCUUCGGUCGCGAGAACCUUGCCGCCGACGACAUGGCGCAGCUCUGGGGCACGGGUCGCUACCGCACCGGGCCUGGUAACUAUAACAGCGGCUACAGCACCAAGAAAACACAUACGCUGGAAGACAGCACUGUCAGCAUUAUCCCAAAGCACGAGCUGGAGAAGUUCAUGCCAGAUAUCUCGCUCGGGUCGAAGGCGCUCGUGACGCCAGUCUCGUUGAUGAGUGCCCGUAACGGCCACCGCGUCACCCACGACCUCAUCCACUCCUACGACCCGUACAUUGGGCGGCUGCAGAAGCCCGCGGUGGUGGAUCACGACAACAUCACCGUGGAGGACCCGAACCGUGUCGGUCUCAAUGCAGCCACGCUGGACUGCCGCUCUCGCAUCUACCGCUGGCUGCGUCGCGGCCCAUUCUUCCAGGAAGACAACUACUUCCGUCGCUCGACAAAACUGCAGCGCAACGGCCCAGUGCCGGUCUCCGUGCACGAGGUGCCGCUCAUGCAGCGCAUUAUUCGCCUCGCUCGUCGAGGUCAGCUGAAGGCGGCGUGCGAGGAGUACCGGCGCGUGACGUCGGUGCCGCCGGUGGAUGUGUACCGCGCGCUGACGGCCGCCUGCGUCCCUGGCGCGAAGCUGGCGGACGCGAUCGCCAUCUUUGAAGACGGCAACUCGCGGCUCUUCUACGUCGCGCGAGACGGGGAGGUGCUGCACAACAUGCUGCGCUGCGCCAUCCGCGCCAAGCACCGCGUGCGGGUGAUGUGGGUGUACAACGUUAUGGUGGGUCGCCACUACGAGAACGUAGUUGUAAGGGCAGAGGUGGACGUGAUCUGGCGCUACCGCAUCGCGAGUCUGGCGCUGGAGUACCUGCUGGACAGCAACGCCGGCGAAGAGGCGCGCACUGUGUACGACUACCUCGUGGAGAACAAGCUGGUCGACUGUGACCUGCACGUGCGCCUCGGCCACGUCAUGCAGCAGGCCCUCAAGGAGGGGAAGACCGUGCACGUGCAGCAGGACGCGCUCGACGGUAUGGCGCUAUCGCAGAACGUGGUGGUUGUGGCGCCGCAGGUGGCCGUCGCGGUGUACGCACGGUACCUCGAGACCAUGCAGGAGGGUGCUGCCUGGACGGACGCGCGCGGCCUGCCGCUGACGGACCCGGCCAAGACAGGCGCGGACACCAAUGGCGCUGCGGCUGUCGCAUGGCUGAAGGCAGCAUUCCCAGACAUCGACCCCGCCGCGGUGCUGCGCCUCGCUCGCUUCCGGCGCAACUCGAAGGACCUCAUGGCAAAAGACAGGCCUGCCUACGUGCAGCGUGCGGCACAGUGGGUGGAGUUGCUGAGCUCGGCGCAUCAAACGCGCGAGGAGGCCCCACUCACGUACCUACGCAAGUCACGUCCGUCCAUGGCCAACCCCAACGUGCGAGUGGCGUGGCUGCCGGAGCGGCAGCGCGCGCACGCACUGCUCGCCAGCGAUGAGGGCUUCAAGUUUGCCUAUGGCGGGCCGCAUACCCGCUUCGUGGAAGAAACGUUUGCGUACGCCGAAAACACGCUCCAGAGUCGCUACCUUGCGCAGCAGCCCGUUCACACAGAGGUGACACCGAGCGUGGCCCUGGGGGCGGCUGCGGCGGCGUCUGGCAUUAGCGGCGGCAGCGCACUGCCCCGGCUGCCGGGGUCGUCGGCAGCACCCCAAAUCCUGCACGCCUCUGUCCUCCUGGAUGGGUCGCUAAAUGGCAGUAGCGGUAGCGGUACCUCGGCGCUGCGCCCGGAGCGCAGCGAGUCCGCCAAGGCAGCGGCGAGCCCAACGGCGGGCAUCAGCGGUCGGCCGUCGUCAGCGAGUGGCAGUGCUGGCUUGGACGACACACACUUCUAGGCUGGAGCAGGAUACCGCUCGUGUGUGUGUGUGUGUGUGUGCGUGCGUGUGCUUAACGUACUCCUUUUGUAUUCGUUUUGGUACGCCGAUGGCGUGCAGCGUUGGCGUCAGCGGCUGUGCGUGGGGUGCGUCUGUGUUUCACGUGUGCAUCACAGGUCUCAACAUGCCAUCAUCCUCUGUUCCAAUGCAUGAGGGAGAGACGAGGAGGAGAGCAAGGAGGUAUCAUCCGUGCAGCAACGCCCACGUACAGGACUCCCCCACGCGUGCGCGCACACACUUACGUAGAGGCGCGCGCCGCUCUGGCGUGUACCGCUCGAGCUGCCUCGCUCUCUCCUCAGCACGCGCAUGCGCAGAGGUGAGAGAGGGUCCUCGAAGGGAAGAGCCAUGCGGAGAAAGUGAUGAGCAGACAGCCUCUCACCCGUGAACGCGCACGCUUGCAUCCGUGCCCGCUCUAGCCCACGCGAACGUCCUUCUCACGUGUACUCCCCAG
rnacentral:misc_RNA from 1 species